UGCAGUCUAGCGAAUGGAUUGAGAGCUUGCUCUCAAGAAGUUAGCGGCGGACGGGUGAGUAACACGUGGGUAACCUGCCCAUAAGACUGGGAUAACUCCGGGAAACCGGGGCUAAUACCGGAUAACAUUUUGAACUGCAUGGUUCGAAAUUGAAAGGCGGCUUCGGCUGUCACUUAUGGAUGGACCCGCGUCGCAUUAGCUAGUUGGUGAGGUAACGGCUCACCAAGGCAACGAUGCGUAGCCGACCUGAGAGGGUGAUCGGCCACACUGGGACUGAGACACGGCCCAGACUCCUACGGGAGGCAGCAGUAGGGAAUCUUCCGCAAUGGACGAAAGUCUGACGGAGCAACGCCGCGUGAGUGAUGAAGGCUUUCGGGUCGUAAAACUCUGUUGUUAGGGAAGAACAAGUGCUAGUUGAAUAAGCUGGCACCUUGACGGUACCUAACCAGAAAGCCACGGCUAACUACGUGCCAGCAGCCGCGGUAAUACGUAGGUGGCAAGCGUUAUCCGGAAUUAUUGGGCGUAAAGCGCGCGCAGGUGGUUUCUUAAGUCUGAUGUGAAAGCCCACGGCUCACCGUGGAGGGUCAUUGGAAACUGGGAGACUUGAGUGCAGAAGAGGAAAGUGGAAUUCCAUGUGUAGCGGUGAAAUGCGUAGAGAUAUGGAGGAACACCAGUGGCGAAGGCGACUUUCUGGUCUGUAACUGACACUGAGGCGCGAAGCGUGGGGAGCAACAGGAUAGAUACCCUGGUAGUCCCCCCGUAAACGUGAGUGCUAGUGUU
rnacentral:rRNA from 1 species